rnacentral:misc_RNA from 1 species
GAUGAAGAACGCAGCGAAAUGCGAUAAGUAAUGUGAAUUGCAGAAUUCAGUGAAUCAUCGAAUCUUUGAACGCACCUUGCGCUCUUUGGUAUUCCGAAGAGCAUGCCUGUUUGAGUGUCAUGAAAAUAUCAACCUUGACUUGGGUUUUGUGCUCUAGUCUCGGCUUGGAAUUGGGUGCUUGCCGCUUUUACGAGCGGCUCACCUUAAAUGUAUUAGCUGGAUCUGUCUUUGAGACUUGGUUUGACUUGGCGUAAUAAGUAUUUCGCUAAGGACAUUCUUCGGAGUGGCCUCGUUUCUAGGACGCUUGGCCGCUUUCCAAUACAAGUUCCACCUCGUGGACAUGACUUUUUAUUAUCUGGCCUCAAAUCAGGUAGGACUACCCGCUGAACUUAAGCAUAUCAAUAAGCGGAGGA